rnacentral:tRNA from 1 species
GGGCCUAUAGCUCAGUUGGUUAGAGCACUGUGUUGAUAACGCAGGGGUCGGUGGUUCGAGUCCACCUGGGCCCACCA